AUUGAACGCUGGCGGCACGCCUAACACAUGCAAGUCGAGCGGCAGCGCGAUAUGUAGCAAUACAUAUUGGCGGCGAGCGGCGGACGGGUGAGGAACACGUAGGAACCUACCCUCGAGUGGGGGAUAACCAAGGGAAACUUUGGCUAAUACCGCAUGAUUUCGAGAGAGCAAAGCUGCCGCAAGGUGGCGCUCGAGGAGGGGCCUGCGUCCGAUUAGCUAGUUGGUGAGGUAAGAGCUCACCAAGGCGAUGAUCGGUAACUGGUCUGAGAGGACGACCAGUCACACUGGGACUGAGACACGGCCCAGACUCCUACGGGAGGCAGCAGUGGGGAAUAUUGGACAAUGGGGGCAACCCUGAUCCAGCGAUGCCGCGUGAGUGAAGAAGGCCUUCGGGUCGCAAAGCUCUUUAGGUUGGGAAGAAGAGUGAUGGAGGAAAUGCUAUCACUUUGACGGUACCGACAGAAUAAGCACCGGCAAACUCUGUGCCAGCAGCCGCAGUAA
rnacentral:rRNA from 1 species